UACAGAGGUCUCAAGCGUUGUUCGGAUUCAUUGGGCGUAAAGGGUGCGUAGGCGGCGCGGUAAGUCGGGUGUGAAAUCUCGGGGCUUAACUCCGAAACUGCAUUCGAUACUGCCGUGCUUGAGGACUGGAGAGGAGACUGGAAUUUACGGUGUAGCGGUGAAAUGCGUAGAUAUGCGGAAGAACACCGGUGGCGAAGGCGGUGGUCUGGGCUGUAACUGACGCUGAGGAGCGAAAGCGUGGGGAGCAAACAGG
rnacentral:rRNA from 1 species